rnacentral:rRNA from 1 species
UGAGUAACCUGCCCUUAACUCUGGGAUAAGCCUGGGAAACUGGGUCUAAUACCGGAUAUGACUCCUCAUCGCAUGGUGGGGGGUGGAAAGCUUUUUGUGGUUUUGGAUGGACUCGCGGCCUAUCAGCUUGUUGGUGGGGUCAUGGCUCACCAAGGCGACGACGGGUAGCCGGCCUGAGAGGGUGACCGGCCACACUGGGACUGAGACACGGCCCAGACUCCUACGGGAGGCAG